rnacentral:rRNA from 1 species
CCUACGGGAGGCAGCAGUGAGGAAUAUUGGUCAAUGGACGAGAGUCUGAACCAGCCAAGUAGCGUGAAGGAUGACUGCCCUAUGGGUUGUAAACUUCUUUUAUAUGGGAAUAAAAUGUUCCACGUGUGGGAUUUUGUAUGUACCAUAUGAAUAAGGAUCGGCUAACUCCGUGCCAGCAGCCGCGGUAAUACGGAGGAUCCGAGCGUUAUCCGGAUUUAUUGGGUUUAAAGGGAGCGUAGGUGGAUUGUUAAGUCAGUUGUGAAAGUUUGCGGUUCAACCGUAAAUUUGCAUUUGAAACUGGCAGUCUAGAGUACAUGAGAGGUGGGCGGAAUGCGUGGUGUAGCGGUGAAAUGCUUAGAUAUCACGAAGAACUCCGAUUGCGAGGGCAGCACACAGGACUGCAACUGACCCUGAGGCUCGAAAGUGUGGGUAUCAAACAGGAUUAGAUACCCCAGUAGUC